rnacentral:rRNA from 1 species
UACGUAGGGUGCGAGCGUUAAUCGGAAUUACUGGGCGUAAAGCGUGCGCAGGCGGCGCGUUAAGACAGGUGUGAAAGCCCCGCAGCUUAACUUGGGAAUUUGCGCUUGUGACUGGCGUGCUGGAGUGUGGCAGAGGGGAGGUGGAAUUCCACGUGUAGCAGUGAAAAUGCGUAGAGAUGUAGAGGAAACACCGAUGGCGAAGGCAGCCCUCCUGGGCCAGCACUGACGCUCAUGCACGAAAGCGUGGGAGCAAACAGG